UAUCCAUGAUGUGGACAUGAAUUCAAAAGAUCCUUGAAUCUCUCCCAGUAUUAGAAGAAGGUCUCUUCCUCUUUCUGGAAAAAAAAUCAUGAUCACCCUCCUCAAGGUA